rnacentral:rRNA from 1 species
AGUCGAGCGGAAACGAGUUAUCUGAACCUUCGGGGAACGAUAACGGCGUCGAGCGGCGGACGGGUGAGUAAUGCCUAGGAAAUUGCCUUGAUGUGGGGGAUAACCAUUGGAAACGAUGGCUAAUACCGCAURAUGCCUACGGGCCAAAGAGGGGGACCUUCGGGCCUCUCGCGUCAAGAUAUGCCUAGGUGGGAUUAGCUAGUUGGUGAGGUAAUGGCUCACCAAGGCGACGAUCCCUAGCUGGUCUGAGAGGAUGAUCAGCCACACUGGAACUGAGACACGGUCCAGACUCCUACGGGAGGCAGCAGUGGGGAAUAUUGCACAAUGGGCGCAAGCCUGAUGCAGCCAUGCCGCGUGUAUGAAGAAGGCCUUCGGGUUGUAAAGUACUUUCAGCAGUGAGGAAGGGGGUGUCGUUAAUAGCGGCAUCUCUUGACGUUAGCUGCAGAAGAAGCACCGGCUAACUCCGUGCCAGCAGCCGCGGUAAUACGGAGGGUGCGAGCGUUAAUCGGAAUUACUGGGCGUAAAGCGCAUGCAGGUGG